CGGACACAUCAAAUUGAAACACCGGUUCACGUAUGAUCAUUGAAGUUAAACAACGUCGAGCCUGGUCAGUUCCUAGAUGGGUGACCAUUUGGGAUUACCAGGUGCUGUAAG